rnacentral:rRNA from 1 species
AACCAUUGGAAACGAUGGCUAAUACCGCAUAAUGCCUUCGGGCCANAGAGGGGGACCUUCGGGCCUCUCGCGUCAGGAUAUGCCCAGGUGGGAUUAGCUAGUUGGUGAGGUAAUGGCUCACCAAGGCGACGAUCCCUAGCUGGUCUGAGAGGAUGAUCAGCCACACUGGAACUGAGACACGGUCCAGACUCCUACGGGAGGCAGCAGUGGGGAAUAUUGCACAAUGGGCGCAAGCCUGAUGCAGCCAUGCCGCGUGUGUGAAGAAGGCCUUCGGGUUGUAAAGCACUUUCAGCAGUGAGGAAGGCGGGUACGUUAAUAGCGUGCUCGUUUGACGUUAGCUGCAGAAGAAGCACCGGCUAACUCCGUGCCAGCAGCCGCGGUAAUACGGAGGGUGCGAGCGUUAAUCGGAAUUACUGGGCGNAAAGCGCAUGCAGGUGGUUCGUUAAGUCAGAUGUGAAAGCCCGGGGCUCAACCUCGGAACUGCAUUUGAAACUGGCGGACUANAGNACUGNANAGGGGGGUANAAUUUCNGGUGUANCGGUGAAAUGCGUAGAGAUCUGAAGGAAUANCGGUGGCGAANGCGGNCCCCUGGACNGAUACUGACACUCANAUGCGAAAGCG